rnacentral:tRNA from 1 species
GCCUUCGUGGUAUAGUAGUCACCAUGCUCGACACGUAACUGGGAGAUCCAUGGUUCGAUUCCUGGCGAAGGCG